rnacentral:rRNA from 1 species
AUUCCAGCUCCAAUAGCGUAUAUUAAAGUUGUUGCAGUUAAAACGCUCGUAGUCGGAUUUCGGGGCGGGCCGACCGGUCUGCCGAUGGGUAUGCACUGGCCGGCGCGUCCUUCCACCCGGAGACCGCGCCUACUCUUAACUGAGCGGGCGCGGGAGACGGGUCUUUUACUUUGAAAAAAUCAGAGUGUUUCAAGCAGGCAGUCGCUCUUGCAUGGAUUAGCAUGGGAUAAUGAAAUAGGACUCUGGUGCUAUUUUGUUGGUUUCGAACACCGGAGUAAUGAUUAACAGGGACAGUUGGGGGCAUAGUAUUUAAAUGUCAGAGGUGAAAUUCUUGGAUUUAUUAAAGACUAACUUAUGCGAAAGCAUUUGCCAAGGAUGUUUUCAUUA